rnacentral:rRNA from 1 species
UAGGGAAUCUUCCGCAAUGGACGAAAGUCUGACGGAGCAACGCCGCGUGAGUGAAGAAGGAUUUCGGCUCGUAAAACUCUGUUGCUAGGGUAGAAAAAAUGUAUAGUAACUAUAUACAAAAGAGACGGUACCUAACCAGAAAGCCACGGCUAACUACGUGCCAGCAGCCGCGGUAAUACGUAGGUGGCAAGCGUUGUCCGGAAUUAUUGGGCGUAAAGCGCGCGCAGGUGGUUUAGAAAGUCUGAUGUGAAAGCCCACGGCUCAACCGUGGAGGGUCAUUGGAAACUAAUAAACUUGAGUGCAGGAGAGAAAAGUGGAAUUCCUAGUGUAGCGGUGAACUGCGUAGAGAUUAGGAGGAACGCCGGUGGCGAAAGCGGCUUUUUGGCCUGCAACUGACACUGAAGCGCGAAAGCGUGGGGAGCAAACAGG